rnacentral:lncRNA from 10 species
AAAAAUCUUGAAGCCUUGAAGCCACCUGCAGGGCUGUUGUUUUCCAAGGCCUUGCACUUACGUAAUUGACAUCUACAUAGACACACUCCUGGAACAUAUCGGGGGAGGCAGGCAUUCUGCUUGUUCUCAUUUGUUCUCAAAUUACAUGAUAAAAUACAUGUUUUGGACCUUUUAAACCAAAGGGAGUUAUUGAGCCCGCUUACAAAAUCCAUAACAUGUUAGCAGGACUUAUCUAGCUGCCUCCACAGAAUAGCCAAGCAACUCUACACCCGCUUUAGCCCCCACAAAAACAAGCGGAUUGCACUACAAAUAAUUUGCCUAUUUGGAAAAUGAAAGCUUCUCUGUAGUUUGAGGUCCUAUUUUUUCUUUAAGUUGUUACAGUCUUUUCAUGGUCCUUGAGGUCUAGGUUAGGUUUUUGUUUGGGGUAAUUUUUGUAUCCUAUGGAUACUAUUUAAUCUUUAGUAUUGAGUCAGUAUUUCUCACUUAGGCCUUAGGGGAAUACUGCCUGAAGUAUGUAGGGGGCAUGCGGAAUUCAGACGUGGCUUGGAAACUGCACCAUGGGUUCACCCAAGAAACAGACCAGAGGCAACACAUUCUAUCACUAAAACGUGUUCUCAGUUACACUUCCCUUCCAAAGGUAUCUCUGUUCAAGCCAACACCCGCUAGCUUAUGCUGAGUCUUUUUUUCCUGAAGAUACUCCUAAAGAAUACUCCAUGAUCUCAUCAGUAACACCAGCCCAUGUGACCGUAACUCUCACUCAACGAGGAGAAAAUAUACAAAGAGAAGAUGAAGAGACAACCAAAGUAAGACACAGUUAUCCAGAAAGAGCCCUAGAGAUGGAUAAGGAACCUGUUGGAAUGCUCUGAUAUUAAGAAAAAAAAAAUUAAAUUCAAAACCAAAAACAAGUCACAAGGGAGUUUUAUGCCUAUGUAAUCAGUGCAGACAGCCGUUAAGUAAAUGAAGAGGCAACUAACAAUGUCAGAAAAGAGACCGGGCGGUUCCGGCUGACACUACCCUAAUCUUCCAGGACCCAUUAAAUGGUAGUUUCAACGCAUUACCUACCAUAACAUCCUUGAAUAUCACUGAUUUUAUUUGCAGUAUCAAACAUUCCAUUUCAUGCCCCAUUAACAGUGGGAGCCUGGGCUUUUUGACGCAGCUAAACAUUUUACUAACUACCUGGACUAAGUAACCAAUUAACUUUUGGAGACAAUACGGCCAAUUAAGCGCGAAAAGAAAAUUUGGAAAACAGGCUUUUCCUAUCCGGAUGAACAGAGAUAAUUUGUGUCGAUGGAUGUUCUGUGAAGGCCUAUUGUGUCGAGCAGCGUAUUAAAACAUAAACAUGGCUCUUCCCCCAAGAAACUUACAUUUCAGUAAGGGAGCCUGGCCAAAAUGGAAAACUGCAAGGUUCAAAUCCUGGAGUGCAGAAGAAGCAUUAGGCAUUGACCCCCUCUACCUGGCUUUUCCUACGCUGUAAAAUGAGGAUCCUCCUAUAUUAUGGAGUUUAUUGUGACAACUAAAUAGCUGAGAAGAAGGACAUCUCAUUUGUUUUAACUAUGCAGUUUCCUGUCUAUCUAUCUAUCUAUCCCAUCAAUCUAUCAAUCAAUCUAUCAAUCUGUCUAUCCCUAUCUAUCUAUCCAUCUAUCUAUCUAUAUCUGUCUAUAUCUAUCUAACAUUUAUCUAUCAUCUAUUCAUCUAUCAGCUAUCUUCUGUCUAUCAAUAUUUCAAUCAAUCUCUCUAUCCCUAUCAAUUAAUCUAUCUACCUACCUAUCAACUAUCCAUCUAUCUCUAUCAUCUAUCAUCUAUUCAUCUAUCAUUUAUCAUCUGUCAAUCCAUCUUCCUACUAUCUAUCAAAAGCAACACAUUUUCUUCCUGACUUUAAAAAUAUUUAAGUGGGCCGGGAGGAUGGCUCACGCCUGUAAUCCCAGCACUUUGGGAGGCCUAGGCGGGCGGAUCACGAGGUCAGGAGAUGGAGACCAUCCUGGCUAACAUGGUGAAACCCCGUCUCUACUAAAAAUACAAAAAAAAAAAAAAAUUAACCAGGCGUGGUGGAGGGCGCCUGUAGUCCCAGCUACUCGGGAGACUGAGGCAGGAGAAUGGGGAGAACCCGGGAGGCGGAGCUUGCAGUGAGCCGAGAUCAUGCCACUGCACUCCAGCCUGGGCGACAGAGCAAGACUCCAUCUCAAAAGAAACAAAAACAAAAACGUAAGUGAUACUCUGUCCACUCUUUUGAUUGAGGAGGUCUGAUUUUCAGGCUUUGGAUUUUAUUAUGUCUUCAAUAUAAUAAUUGUUCCAUGUAUCUCUCCUAAAUUGCCAUUUGAAAAACUGCUUUUCUGAAGUUUAAAGUGCACAUUUUGAUACAUCUUGACACAUAUAUACACCCAUGAAAUCAUCACCACAAUCAGGAUAGUAGAUCUAUCCAUUACCGCCAAGGUUUACUUGCACUCCUUUGAACUUUCUCCCCACUCCUCACCCCCUGCCUAUCCCCAAUCCUUAAGCAAUCACUGAUUUGCUUUCUGUCACUAUCAGUUAAUUUGAAUUUUUCAGAAAUGUAUAUAAAUAAAAUCAUUCGACGUGUAUGCUCUUUUUCUGUUCACCCGGUACAAUUUGAGAUUUAGCCAUGUUUUUGCAUGUGUCAAUAGUUUAUUUUUUUGUUGCUCAGUACUAAUCCAUUUUAUGGAUACAGAGAAAUGUAUUAAUGCAAUCCCAUAUUAAUAGGCAUUUGGGUUGUUUCCAGGUUUGGGCUGUUACAAAUAAAGCUGCUAUGAACAUUUUUGUGCAAGUCUUUUUAUGAGUAUAUUCCUUUAUUUCUUUUGGGUAAAUACCUAGAAGUGGGAUGGGUGUAUCACAUGGUACGUAAAUAUUUAAAUUUUUAAGAGAAUGCCAAACUGUUUUUCAAAGUAAUUGCACCAUUUUAUAUUCCCACCAGGAAUAUAUGAGAAUUCCAGUUCCUCUACAUACUCACAGACAUAUUGUAUGGUCAGU